GCUUGCUCUUUCUGAUCAGUGGCGAACGGGUGAGUAACACGUGAGCAACCUGCCCCUGACUCUGGGAUAACCCCGAGAAAUCGGAGCUAAUACCGGAUACGAGACGCACAGGCAUCUGUAGCGUCUGGAAAGAUUUAUCGGUCAGGGAUGGGCUCGCGGCCUAUCAGCUAGUUGGUGAGGUAGUGGCUCACCAAGGCGACGACGGGUAGCCGGCCUGAGAGGGCGACCGGCCACACUGGGACUGAGACACGGCCCAGACUCCUACGGGAGGCAGCAGUGGGGAAUAUUGCACAAUGGGCGCAAGCCUGAUGCAGCGACGCCGCGUGGGGGAUGAAGGCCUUCGGGUUGUAAACCCCUUUCAGCAGGGAAGAAGCGAAAGUGACGGUACCUGCAGAAGAAGCGCCGGCUAACUACGUGCCAGCAGCCGCGGUAAUACGUAGGGCGCAAGCGUUGUCCGGAAUUAUUGGGCGUAAAGAGCUCGUAGGUGGUUUGUCGCGUCUGCUGUGAAAACCCGAGGCUCAACCUCGGGCUUGCAGUGGGUACGGGCAGACUAGAGUGCGGUAGGGGAGACUGGAAUUCCUGGUGUAGCGGUGGAAUGCGCAGAUAUCAGGAGGAACACCGAUGGCGAAGGCAGGUCUCUGGGCCGCAACUGACACUGAGGAGCGAAAGCAUGGGGAGCGAACAGGAUUAGAUACCCUGGUAGUCCAUGCCGUAAACGUUGGGCACUAGGUGUGGGGCUCAUUCCACGAGUUCCGUGCCGCAGCUAACGCAUUAAGUGCCCCGCCUGGGGAGUACGGCCGCAAGGCUAAAACUCAAAGGAAUUGACGGGGGCCCGCACAAGCGGCGGAGCAUGCGGAUUAAUUCGAUGCAACGCGAAGAACCUUACCAAGGCUUGACAUAUACCGAAAACUCGUGGAGACACGGGGUCCGCAAGGGCGGUAUACAGGUGGGUGCAUGGUUGUCGUCAGCUCGUGUCGGGAGAUGUUGGGUUAAGUCCCGCAAC
rnacentral:rRNA from 1 species